rnacentral:tRNA from 1 species
UGCCUGAUGGUGUAAUGGUAGCACUACGGUUUUUGGUACCGUCAGUCUAGGUUCGAAUCCUAGUCGGGCAA